UACAGAGGUCCCAAGCGUUGUUCGGAUUCACUGGGCGUAAAGGGUGCGUAGGUGGUUAGGUAAGUCCGAUGUGAAAUCUCCAGGCUCAACCUGGAAAUGGCAUUGGAUACUAUCUAGCUUGAGGAGUGGAGGGGGGACUGGAAUUCUCGGUGUAGCAGUGAAAUGCGUAGAUAUCGAGAGGAACACCAGUGGCGAAGGCGAGUCCCUGGACACUUCCUGACACUGAGGCACGAAAGCUAGGGGAGCAAACAGG
rnacentral:rRNA from 2 species